rnacentral:rRNA from 1 species
UACGGGGGGGGUAAGCGUUGUUCGGAAUUACUGGGCGUAAAGGGCUCGUAGGCGGCCAACUAAGUCGGACGUGAAAUCCCUCAGCUUAACUGGGGAACUGCGUCUGAUACUGGAUGGCUUGGAUUUGGGAGAGGGAUGCGGAAUUCCAGGUGUAGCGGUGAAAUGCGUAGAUAUCUGGAGGAACACCGGUGGCGAAGGCGGCAUCCUGGACCAAUUCUGACGCUGAGGAGCGAAAGCCAGGGGAGCAAACGGG